UAAUUUUAAUAUGUCAUAUGACAUAUAUUUAUAAUGAGAAAAUCCUAACGUAAUCCUAAUCGAAAUCCUAUUCCGAUUAGAUUAUCCAUUAACCCACAAGUUGGUUAUGAUAUUAACCGAAUUCUGAAUCCUAAUUCUAAUUCGAUUCGUAUGUAACAUUUACACAUAAGUCCUCAUAUUAUUUACUAACGAUUAGUAAAUACACCAUGCAACUUUUACACAUAAAUACCUCUAAUUUACAACAAUUGCAAAUUAGUCUUUUUACUAAUAAACUAGUAAACUUUAGUAUUUAAUUAUAAUUAUAAUUAAUCCAUCCGAUAAACUUCUUUUAUCGUUUCCUAAAUAUCGAUCAUGCGC
rnacentral:lncRNA from 1 species